rnacentral:rRNA from 1 species
AUACGGAGGAUCCGAGCGUUAUCCGGAUUUAUUGGGUUUAAAGGGAGCGUAGGUGGAUUGUUAAGUCAGUUGUGAAAGUUUGCGGCUCAACCGUAAAAUUGCAGUUGAAACUGGUAGUCUUGAGUACAGUAGAGGUGGGCGGAAUUCGUGGUGUAGCGGUGAAAUGCUUAGAUAUCACGAAGAACUCCGAUUGCGAAGGCAGCUCACUAGACUGCAACUGACACUGAUGCUCGAAAGUGUGGGUAUCAAACAGGAUUAGAUACCCUGGUAGUCCACACAGUAAACGAUGAAUACUCGCUGUUUGCGAUAUACAGUAAGCGGCCAAGCGAAAGCAUUAAGUAUUCCACCUGGGGAGUACGCCGGCAACGGUGAAACUCAAAGGAAUUGACGGGG